AUUGAACGCUGGCGGCAUGCUUUACACAUGCAAGUCGAACGGUAACAGGCCUUCGGGUGCUGACGAGUGGCGCACGGGUGAGUAAUGCAUCGGAACGUGCCCAGAGGUGGGGGAUAACGCAGCGAAAGCUGUGCUGAUACCGCAUGUGAUCUGAGGAUGAAAGCGGGGGACCAAGCAGCAAUGUUUGGCCUCGCGCCUCUGGAGCGGCCGAUGUCAGAUUAGGUAGUUGGUGGGGUAAAGGCCUACCAAGCCGACGAUCUGUAGCUGGUCUGAGAGGACGACCAGCCACACUGGGACUGAGACACGGCCCAGACUCCUACGGGAGGCAGCAGUGGGGAAUUUUGGACAAUGGGCGCAAGCCUGAUCCAGCAAUGCCGCGUGCGGGAAGAAGGCCUUCGGGUUGUAAACCGCUUUUGUACGGAACGAAAAGGCUCUGGCUAAUACCUGGGGCUGAUGACGGUACCGUAAGAAUAAGCACCGGCUAACUACGUG
rnacentral:rRNA from 1 species